GCUCAAGUGGUCAACAGGAGCUGGCCCGAGAAUCGGUUGUGUUGCUGACUAUCCGGUAGAGCUGAGAAUGCAGGCCUUAGAGUUUGUUAACCUAUCUCCGAGAUCUCCCCCAACGCCAUCCUACAGGCGGUUCGGUGGUCUCACAUCACCUACAUCGAAUCUCACAUCACCAACAUCUGGUUUCACAUCACAUACGUCGAAUUCCACCACGGAUGUCAAUAACGUUGAUUAGACAGUCAUCUGAUGAUUGAACUGCACCAAUAAUUAUCAUCAUCAUCAUCAGUUUUAUGCCCCAUCUCUAAUGGAUGUUUUAGAGAAUG
rnacentral:lncRNA from 1 species